rnacentral:rRNA from 1 species
UACGAAGGGGGCUAGCGUUGCUCGGAAUUACUGGGCGUAAAGCGCACGUAGGCGUCUUUCUAAGUCGGGGGUGAAAUCCCGAGGCUCAACCUCGGAACUGCCUUCGAUACUGCGGGUCUCGAGUCCGGGAGAGGUGAGUGGAAUUCCUAGUGUAGAGGUGAAAUUCGUAGAUAUUAGGAAGAACACCAGUGGCGAAGGCGGCUCACUGGCCCGGUACUGACGCUGAGGCGCGAAAGCGUGGGGAGCAAACAGG